rnacentral:piRNA from 1 species
UGGUGAACGCACAAAGGAGAAAGCCAGGU